CUACUAUUUUAAAAGCAUGUGACCUUAUAGAUCUAUAAAAUGUGAGAAGUGUUCAACAAUCUUUGAUAUUACACAUAAACCCCACACUAAAAUGCCUUUCAAUAAGUAAAAUGAACCAUUUUAAAUACAGGGAAUUCUAAUUAGAUUGGCAUAGUUAAGGCCAAAAAUAUAAAGUAGACAUUGCUCCCUUAUUUAUCUUCAACCCUUGCGUUUAAGAGGCAAAUGAACACAAAACACAGGUGAAUCUUGCUUUGUUCUGAGACAGUGAAGAAAUUUCCCCAGUAUUUAAAUAUAUUUACAUAAACAGUUAUAUAAAUCUAAAUAAAACCAAUCUCCAAUAAGUUUUAAGAUGGCACUCACCAUCUUUGUGGAAAGUUGAACGUUACUAACGAAGUCUAAUCAUAUCUUUGGAAGGGGUAAACAGUAAUAGCACUUACUGAAUUGGAAUUACUAUUAAAUUCACAAACUGAACAUACUCAUUUAGCCACAAGCCAGUCUUAGUUUUAAAUCAGGACUGCCCAGCAAAAUAUUCUGUCAGUCAUUCAUGAUCUGAAUUCUAGUGUAUGAGAUCUAUUAAAGUAUGGUACAUGUAGAAAAGUCAUGAGACAUUUCUGUUUUGUAGUAAAUAAGGCCUUUGCCCAUUUUUAAAUGAAAUUAUUUUUUCCACUGUUGAUUUGAGUUCCUUGUGUAUUAUGUAUAUUAGUCCCCUGUUUGAGGAGUAAUUUGCAAAUAUUUUCUCCCAUUCAAGAGGUUGUCUCUUUACUCCAUUGGUUAUUUCUUUUGCUGUGCAGAAGCUUUUUAGUUUAAUAUACUUCCAUUUGUGUGUGUGUGUGUGUGUGUGUGUGUGUGUGUGUGUGUGUUUCUUUUUUUUCAGACAGGGUCUCAUUCUGUUGCCCAGGCUGGAGUGCAGUGGUAUGAUCUUGGCUCACUGCAGCCUCUGCCUCCUUGGUUCAAGCGAUCCUCCUACCUCAGCCUCCUGAGUAGCUGGGACUAAAGGUAUGUGCCACAACACUUGGCUAAUUUUUGUACUUUUUUUGGUAGAGAUGGGUUUUUACCAUGUUGCCCAGGCUGGUCUUGAACUCCUGGGAUCAAGCAAUCUGCCCACGUCGGCCUCCCAAAGUGCUGGGAUUACAGGUGUGAGCCACCAUGCCCAGCCUAUUUUUGUUUUUAUUGCCUGUGCUUUUGAGGUCUUAGCCAUAAAAAUCUUUGCCUAGACCAGUAAGUAUCCUGAGGAGUUUUCCCUGUUUUAUUCUAGUGGUUUUAUAGUUUCGGGUCUUACGUUUAAGUAUUUAAUCCAUUUUGAGUAGACUUUUGUACAUGGUGAAAGAUAGGGGUACAGUUUCAUUCUUUUUUUUUUUUUUUUUUUUUUUUUUUACUUCAGGUUAUGUAUCUGAUAGCCAGUUUCAUUCUUCUCAGUAUGGUUAUCCACUUGCCUCAGCACCAUUUAUUGAAAAGGGUGUCAUUUCUCCAAUGUAUGUUCUUGGUGGCUUUGUUGAAGAUCAGUUGGCUAUAAAUAUGUGGAUUUAUUUCUGGGUUCUCUAUUCUAUUAGAUUGGUCUAUUUGUCUAUUUUCAUUCCAACAUCAUGCUGUUUUGGUUACUUGUAGUCUGUUUUGAAGUCAGGUAGUGUGAUACCUCCAGCUUGGUUCUUUUUGCUUAGUAAUGCUUUGGCUAUUUGUGUUCUUUCUUGGUUCCAUACAAAUUUUGGAAUUUUUUUUUCUAUUUCUGUGAAAAAUGAUAUUAGUAUUUUUGAUAAGGAUUGUAUCAAAUCUGUAGAUUACUUUGGGCAGUAUGGUCAUUUUAAUGAUAUGAAUUCUUCCAAUCCAUGGGCACAAAAUGUCUUUCCAUUUAUUCGUAUCCUCUUCGAUUUCUUUCAUAGUGUUUUGUAGUUUUCCUUGUAGAGAUCUUUCACCUCCUUGGUUAAAUUUAUUUCUAGGUAUUUUUUUUUGGUAAUGGGAACUGCCUUCUGGAUUUCUUUUUUGCCUAUUUCAUUAUUGGAGUAUAGAAGUGCUACCAAUUUUUGUGUUUUUGUAUCCUGUAAUUUUACUGAAUUUAUCAGUUCUAGGAGUUUUUUGGUGGCACCUUUUGUUUUUUCUAGAUAUAAAAUUAUGUCGUCUGCAAAGAAGGAUCAUUUGGCUUUCUCUUUUCCAAAUUAGAUGCCUUUUAUUUCUUGUUCUUGUCUGAUUGCUCUGGCUAGGACUUCCAGUACUAUGUUGAAUAGAAGCGGUGAAAGUGGGCAUUCUUGACUUGUUCCAAUUAAUAGAGGAAAGGUUUUCACCAUUCAGUAUGAUGAUAGCUGUAGGUUUGUUCUAAUAUUGCCUUUAUUAUUUUGAGGUAUGAUUCUUCUAUGCCUAAUUUGUUGAGCAUUUUUAAUCCUGAAGCAGUGUUGAAUUUUGUCAAAUCUUUUUUCUGCAUCUAUUGAGAUUAACAUAUGGUUUUGCCCUUCAUUUUGUUGAUGUGGUGUAUCAUGUUUAUUGAUUUGCAUGUGCUGAACCAUCCUUGCAUUCCUAGUAUAAAUUUAAAUUGAUCAUGGUGUAUUAUCUUUUUGAUGUGCUGUUGCACUUAGUUUGCUAGUAUUUUGUUGAGGGUUUUUGCAUCUGUGUUAAUCAGGGAUAUUGGCCUGUACUUUUCUUUUUUUGUUGUGUCCUUGUCUGGUUUUGGCAUCAGAGUAAUACUGGCCUUACAGAAUGAGUAAGAGAUGAUUCCCUCCUUUUCAAGUUUUUGGAAUAGUUUGAGGAGGAUUGUUAUUAAUUUUUCUUUUUGCAUUUGGUAAAAUUCAGCUGUUAUUCCAUCUGGUCCUGGACUUUUCUUUGUUGAGAGGCUUUUUCUUACUGAUUCAAUCUUGCUACCUGUUAUUGGUCUGUUCAGGUUUUUUAUUUCAUCCUGAUUCAAUCUUGGUGGGUUUUGUUUCCAGGAAUUUAUUCAUUUCCUCUACAUAUUCCAGUUGGUUAUCAUAUAGUUAGUUGUUCAUAAUGAUCUCUGAUGAUCUUUUGUAUUUCUGUGGUAUCAGUUGUAAUGUAUCCUUUUUCAUUUCUGACUUUGUUUAUUUGGGUCUUCUCUCUUCUUGGUUAGUCUAGUGGUUUAUAAACUUUAUCUUUUCAAAGAGCAUAUAUAUAUAUUUGCUCUUUGAAAUAUUUGCUCUAUUUCACCACUUCUCUGAUCUUUGUGUUUUUUUCUUCUGUGAAUUUUGGGUUUGUUCUUGCUCUUCCAGUUUCUUGGAGUGUAUCAUUAGAUUGUUUAUUUAAAAUCUUUAUUUUUGUUGAUGUAGGCAUUUAUUGCUAUACACUUCUCUCUUAGCAUUGCUUUUGCUGUGUCCCACAGGUUUUGCAUGUUAUGUUUCUAUUUUCAAUUGUUUCAAGAAAUUUUUGAUUUUCAUCUUAAUGGUCAUUCAAGAGCAUGUUGUUUAAUUUCCAUGUAUUUGUAUAGUUUCCAAGUUCCUUCUGGUAUUGAUUUAUAUAGUUUUAUUCCAUUGUGGUCUGAGAAGAUAUUUGAUAUAAUUUUGAUUUUUGAAAAUUUGUUGAGACAUGCUUUCUGGCCUAACGUAUAGUCAAUCCUGGUGAAUGUACCAUGUCCUGAUGAGAAGAAUGUUUAUUCUGCAGUUGUUGGAUAAAAUGUUCUGUAAAUGUCUAUUAGGUCCAUUUGGUCUAAAGUCCAGUUUAAGUCUAAUGCUUCUCUGGGAGUGGGGAGUUGAAGUCUCCCACUAUUAUUGUAUCAGAGUCUAGCUCUUUCUUUAGAUCUAGUAAUAUUUGACUUAUGAAUCUGGGUGCUCCAGUGUUGGGUGCAUAUGUAUUUAAAAUUAUUGUAUCCUCUUGCUGGAUUUAUCCCUUUCUCAUUACAUAAUGACUGUCUUUGUCUUUUUUUAAAAACUGCUUUUGACUUAAAGUCUGUUUUAUCUGAUAUAAGUAUAACUGCUCCUGCUCACUUUUGAUUUCUGUUUGUGUGGAAUAUCUUUUUCCAACCUUUUACUUUCAGUCUGUAUCUGUCUUUACAGGUAAAGUGUGUUUCUUGUAGGCAGCAUAUAGUUGGUUCACUUUUUAAAAAUUUCUUAAGUCAGUCUACAUCUUUUAAGUGGAGAAUUGAAUCCAUUUACAUUCGAAGUAAUUAUUGAUAUAUGAGGUUUUAUUUGCUUUACUGUUAAUUAUUUUCUGAUUGCUUCCUUUUUUUUUUCUCUCUUAUUGUUUGUCCUUGUGGUUUGCUGUUCUCCUGUGGUGGUACCAUUUGAGUCUUUUCUCUUCCUCAUUUGUGUGUUUGCUUUAUAGUGAGUUUUAUAAGUUUGUGUAUUUUCAUGAUGCUAACUGUCAUCUUUUUGCUUUCGGGUUUCGGACUUUUUUGAGCAUAUAUUGUAAGGUCAGUUCAGUAGUGAUGAAAUCCCUCAGCAUUUGCUUGGGAAAGACUGUAUUUCUCCUUCAUUUAUGAAGAAUAAUUUUGCUGGAUGUAGUACCCUUGGGUAGGAGUAGUUUUUUCUUUCAGCACUUUGAAUAUAUCAUCCUAUUCUCUCCUGGUGUGUAAAGUAUCUGCUGAGAAGUCAACUGUUAGUCCAAUAGGGGCUCCUUUAUAAGUGACCAGAUGCUUUUCUCUGGCUACUUUUAGAAUCUUCUCUGUCAUUGACAGAGAAAGCAGAUCUAGCCUAUCAUUGAAGCUUUCAAGUAUAUUUUAUCUUUCAUUCCAGGAGUUCUCCAGUCCCAGAAUUUCUAUUUAGUCCUUUUUAAUGAUAUUUAUCUCUUUGUUACAUGUCUCAUUCAUAUUCUGAAUUGUUUUUCUUAUUUCUUUGUAUCGUUUUUCAGAAUUCUUUUGUAUCUCACUGAGCUUAUUUAGUAUCACACUUUUGAAUUCUGUUUUCAGAAUUUCAUGAAUUUCUUUUUGAUUGGCAUCUGUUGCUGGGAAAUUAUUGUGUUCUUGAGGUGUCAUAUUUCCUUGCUUUUUCAUGUUUCCUGCAUCCUUAAAUUGAUAUCUGUGCAUCUGCUGUAGUAGUAAUUUCUUUCAAUUUUUAAAAUUUGCUUUCAUAUGGGAGGACUUUUUCCUGAAGAUGUAUCAAUAAUGUUGCUUGGAUAGGGCCCUUUGGGCUUUGAUUCUGGGCGUGUGCAGUAGUGUAGUCUCUGCAUGAUUUCUUUGACUGUAGAUGGCAUGAAUGAUAUCUGUGAUUUCUUUGGUUGUUUAGGGUGCAUUUAUUAGUAGAGGCUGUGAUGAAGUUUUGCUGAGGACAAAGCUGCCAGGUGGGCCAGUCUUCAGGCCUCAGUGGUGGCAGCAGUGGGCUGAGUAUACUUGUUCUUAGCCCCAGGGUGACAUUUGCUAGCACUGGUGUUAGUGGGACCAGGCAGGUCAAUUCUUGAGCCUCCAGGUGGCUCACUCAAAUACUGGCAGUGGCAGUGGUGGGCCAGGAGGGUGAAUGAGUUCUGAGAUACCUAGGCAGCUGGCGUGGUAUGGGUGCUGGCAGUAGCAGUGGGAGGAUGAUUCUCUGGGUCUGAGUAGUGUGCACUGGUGUUGGCAGUGGCUGUGAUAUGAGGUCACCAUCCACAGCCCCAGACAUGUAGCUGACAGGCUUGCCUGCUCUUGGUGGCAGCAGCGCAGCAGCACCGCAGCACCACAUAGAAGUGGGAAGGGACCCUGUCUUUUGCCCAUAAGCCUGGGCAUGAAAGCCACAUUGCCAGUUGGGGCGUGGUUGCCACUCACAGCCCCAGACAGGCAGCCUUUUGUCUUGCCUGUCCUAGCUCCUGGUGGCAGCAGCAGUGGCUACAGCUGCAGCAGUGUGACAAAGGGGAGAGAAGGUCCUGCUGUCUAUGGGCAAGCCUGAGCACAGAGGCUGCUCUGCUGGUGGGGGUGGGGUCACUUCUCUCAGCCCCAGACUGUCAGCUCUCAGGAUUAUCCACCUCGGCUCCUGGUUGCAGCAACUGCUGUGGCAGUAUGUGGAGCGAGCACCUCUGGCUCCCAACUUCUCCUGACUGAGCUGGCCACUCGCUUCCUUCUCCUCUGUGCCUCAGGCGCUUGCUGAGACUUCUCUGUUGGACUCUAGUGCUCUCUCCUGGAUGUUCUAUUCGAGCUCUGCCGCACUAAGCUCUCUACAUGGCCGAGGCACCAGACCAGAAUGCGCCCUUUCGACAGGCAGAGAGAGCCAAAGGGGAAAAGAGCUGAGUCAAGGCUGCCAAGUUCCUGCUUCCAGCCCUACCAGCCGGUCACUCGCGCCUUGCAAUGAGGAAACCAGGAGUCCUAUCUAGAGCCUUUCCAUAGUUGUGGGAAAGAAGAUGGGUAAAGUUAUUGUUAAUCUACAGAGGAAGGAAUGAUGCCAAGUUUUUCAAGGCUUCCAGAGUCACAGGAGGAGUCACUUGGUAAAUCCAGGAGCAGAAACCAGGUUAAGUGACUAGCCUAAGGUAAGAGCCAGAUUUGGAGCUUGGAAUCUGAUAGCCCUUAGGGUGCUUUAUUCCCUGAGCCAAUCCACACUUCUACCUCAGUAAAGGAAUCAACUGAGGGCUCAGCUUUUCCUCUGCAAGAAACCUGCUCUCUGGGACAUGUUCGCUUCCUGGAUGUUCUGACUAAUUUAAACUAUGGUUAAUUGAAGACUGAAAUAUUCGGGAAACUAUGACAGGAACAAUUUGCUACGGACAGUUUCCACCUGUACUCUCAAGACUUAGAAGCCAUAUGGAUAGAAUGAAAUAGGAAUUGGUGGUGUCUUGGAAUAUCUGCUUCAGGACGAUAAUGAAACUAAUGAUUUAGGGCAGUAGAAGAAGCCGUGGGAGGAACUUUCACAUUUGGCGAGCAUGGAAUCCCCUCUGCAGUUAUGUUUGCCUGUGCAUCUCCGGCAGCUGGAGGACGAAUCACAUCAGGCUGAUGAGUGUGUCACGCUCUUCAUCCCCCAAGAGCUGUGAUGAAGACCAAGACAAACAGUAGAUUAACAGUGCUACCUUUUAUAAGGCUGAUUAGUUCCUAAAAUAUGCUGAAAGGAAACAAAACCAAAAAGAAAAAAGAGUGGAAAGGGGGGUGAGACAGAAACCUUUGUCGAGUCUCAUUCCAUCACCCAGGCUGGAGUGCAGCGGCGUGAUCUUGGCAACCUCCACCUCCCAGGCUCAAGAAAUCCUCCCACCUCAGCCUCCCAAUAGCUGGAUCUACAGGCGUACACCACCACAAUCAGCUGUAUUUUUUGUAGAGACUGGGUUUCGCCAUGUUGCCCAGGGUGGUCAUGAACUUGUGAGCUCAAGUGAUCUGCCCGCCUCAGCCUCCCAAAGUGCUGGGAUUACAGGCAUGAGCCACCGCCCCUGGCCUAAUAAAAUUUAUUUUUAAAAAAGGACCUAUGGCGAAUCAUUUUUACAAAUAAAAUCUAUAGUCAAGGUGCAGUAUGGGAACAGCAUUUUACUGAGUAAUCUUGCAAAGAAUAUGUCAUUAACCACUACACUAAUCUUGUUCUUGAUGUACACCAGCAACAAAUACAAAGAAAAAUUUAGUCUCUUACUUUAACAGGUUCCAAGUAUGCCACAUCGUAUUUUUUGCCAAAUAAUUUAUUAGUAAGAGGAGAUGACUCUAGUAAGUUAUAGAAGUUAUAUUGAAUUUUUAAAAAAAAUUUUUCAAAACUAUUCUGUGGGGAUUGAGGACAGAUGAACUACAAAGGAACAUGAUGGAACUUUCUGGGGUGAGCAUAAUGUUCUAUAUGAUGAUAGGGGCUUGGGUUACAUAAGUGAGCAUUUAUGAAAACUGUACACUUUUUGUGCAUUUCAUUGUGUAUAAAGUUUACUUCAAAAAAAACAUUGAACUCCAAUUAAUUACAUGCAUGCUGAACUAUUUAGAGUGAAGUAUACUGAUGCCUGUUGUUUACUUUGAAGUAUUUCAAAACAGUAAAAUGGAUAGAGGAAUGUGUAAUAAAUUGGUACACGAUAAGGAAAAUAUAGUCAAUUAUGUUAAUAGUAAAAUCUAGAUGGUGAGUAAACUGGUG
rnacentral:lncRNA from 10 species